rnacentral:lncRNA from 1 species
UUCUUAGGCACGACAAUUUCGAGAUCGACAAGCACCGCUCUCCCUCCUUCAACAAGUAAGUGAAACUCAUUUUCUUAUUAAAUGUUUCCUGUGUUUUAUUUUUGGCUUUUCGGUUUUCACUAAUACUCUCAAAUAUAAACACAGCAUAACUAGCAGAUUUGUGUGGCCGUGUUUUAUUUCGCUUCUAAUAAACCCGUAUUACAACAAACCGUACUCUGUAGUUAGACAAGUGCUUUUCAGGUAAAAUUAGUAAGGGACUGAUUCGCUGCAGAUAAUAUACAGACAACAUGAAGUACUGCACGACUCCGCUCCCAGAGUCCAUGGCCGACGGAUGCGCGGAAAUUGCUUUUCGUGUACAUAGCAUUGACCGUUGAAAACAGCAUUCUACCAUUUUGUUUUCGGGACGAGUCGAUAAAAUCCCGAAAUUUUCCGUCGGCGGAUUAACGUAAGAGAUUAUCUUUUUUCUAGAUAUAACGGAUAGAAAUAACAUACGAAAAAAGGGAGCAUUUAAACUGAGUUGCUGGAGCUACUUCGGAUAGAUUCAAAGCGACAGCGUAUCUUCAUUUGGUUUCCGAACGGAGCCUUGGCGUCUCUCUGCGGAAACUCUCCGUUAACUGAGAACGAUCUGCGGUAAAGAAAUUGCGCGGUUUUAUCUGAACAGCUAUUCUGUUUUGGAUUUUAUUUUGUUUUGAAUUAUACACAAUGUGAAAGGUAUUUAUAGUCACACUGAAUAGGGAAGAGUAGAGGGGUUUGACCAACGUAAACAUUUUUUAAAAAUAUAAGGUUGCAGAAGCAUAUUCGAUAAAACGGAAUCGGUGAAAAGAAAUGUGACUUAAUAAUAUUCAAACCAACGUGAUUAAAUUUUAAGGAAAUGCGAAUUAUUACGAGAAAAAAUAGUCUAUGAUAAUUGAGCAGUCAGUCCAAACAGAAAAGCCGAAAGGGACUACAGGUUUCUCGAAACGGAUCGUCGUGGACAAUUGAAACGAACCACGUCCUGAUCGUUGGACUCACUGAAGCAUAUUUUGAAUGGAGCCAACUGUGAUGUUUAAUGCAUUGUAUCAUCUCUUCCUCCUUUGUUUCAUCGUCGUAUCGCCUAUUUUAUGAAGAAUUUCCUCAAAAUUAUUGCAUUUUCCCCCUCUUCGGGUACGAUUCAACAGCGGGGUCACUUUUCCACCUUUCGCCGUCAUUGGAAAAAGUGGGUACAGACGUGUUUGCAGAAUUCCCAGUAUUUCUUUCAAUUUCUUCAGAACUAUCGCAAUGUUCAUGUUGUAAAAUAUCUUAUUUUACAACAUGAACAUUGUAAAAAUGUUGAACAUUGUAAAUAUGUUGAAUGCAACCCCGAUUGAUCGCCGUUCAACAUAUUAUCGACAGUUAAUUUAAACUCGGGUAUUGUUUUCAGUAAAAUGUCAAAGAAUGACUUGCGUUCUCUUCACUGAAGCCCGGGCUCUCGACAUUCAGGUAUCUUCAUGUUUUCGCUGUAACAGCUGUAGAUUUCGAUACAUAAACGGGUAAAACAAUUCUUUGUUCGCCGUAUUCUUAUCUAUUUAAAAGAAUGUGACAGACAGUAUUUUUCAACCACACCAAAACCGAGUUUUCUUAUUUCUCCAUUGGUCAAACCAUAAAAGCUUUAUUCAAGUUGGAGUAUAUAUUUGAAAAGAAUUUUCUCCACGUGCACAGAAAAUGCGGGUUGCUUACCCUGUUCCUUCACUUUCUUUGCAACAGUAUUUUUUCUCUUCGCUCGUCUCUUAAUAGCUGAGUUGGGUACAUGGUUGAUACGGCUACCGUUAUUCAACCAGUAUCAUCUUUCCUACACAGCCAUUAGAAAAUCUGCUUCGGCCGUCGUCCGUAAUGUCCUCUUUAACCAGAACACUCCUAGAGAAAAAUUUAUUCGGAGUUAAUAUCUCCCAAUUUGUACCGGUCCAACCGAAAACAAAUAAUAAUUUGGAAAUUGAGGAAGUGUUAUUUAAUUUAGCUAUAACGCGUAGCGUAAAUACUAAAAAUUUUCAUCACUUUUAUUUUCUUUACAGGUAAAUUGAAACAAAUUUACUGUAAAGAAAAUGUACAAUGAAAAUUUCUAUUCUUGGAAAAGAUUUUAUUUCUAAGCGUGAGGAAAGGAUUGUUAGAGGAAUUGCGUUAUCUCCUUCUGAAUGCUUGGAAUUUAAAAGCUAUAGACAGUGACGUUUGAGAAGUGUUCUCUGUAUUCGCAUUUCCGAAAGGGGUCUUUUUCUGAUUAUGAGAAGGAAUGCGAUUAUUUUUCCGAAACCAAUUGUGAAAUGUAUCGGGCAGGAAAAUCCAGCUAUAAUUUCGACUCUGAAAAUGUAUCGUUUGAAACGGACUGCAAGGUGCUGGUUCCGUAGACAUGUCCUGUUUAUAAUCUUUCAUCAUUAUACACAACAUUCAAACAUCGAUUAAUCGUCGACUGAUUGUUGCAAUAAAUGCAAUAUUAAAUUUAAAAGAAACAAACGCAAAGAAAAAAACUAACACCACUUUUUGCUAAAUAGAAAAUCAACAUCAGUAGUAUACAGUUUGUUAAACAUGUUAAAAACAAUAUGAUUGUAAUAAAUUAAAUCAUCAAGAAUUAAAUUAGGUUUACUAAUUAACCCGUAAGGAAAGGAACGCAUUGUUACCUUUAAUCGACAUACAUGGCUUUGUGAUCGCAAAAUACCGGGCACCAGAACAACGUGACCACAAUCAUAAGAAGCAAAUUCAUUAUUGCAGUAAAAGUUGUAAAUAUUUCAAGUCAAUCUCACAUAUUCUAGCAUUCAAUCACUUCAAAUCCAGAAAGUCACCAAUAUGCAAUGUAUUUAUUCUUCUUCUAUAAAUACUGUUAAGUUUAGCUAACAAAGUGGAAUUAGACGAACUCGAAAUCAAAAUAGCGUAUUC